CAGUCGCCGCGGUAAUACGAAGGGGGCUAGCGUUGCUCGGAAUUACUGGGCGUAAAGGGAGCGUAGGCGGACAUUUAAGUCAGGGGUAAAAUCCCAGAGCUCAACUCUGGAACUGCCUUUGAUACUGGGUGUCUCGAGUGUGAUAGAGGUAUGUGGAACUCCGAGUGUAGAGGUGAAAUUCGUAGAUAUUCGGAAGAACACCAGUGGCGAAGGCGACAUACUGGAUCAUUACUGACGCUGAGGCUCGAAAGCGUGGGGAGCAAACAGGAUUAGAUACCCCCGUAGUCCCUGUCUCUUAUAC
rnacentral:rRNA from 1 species